rnacentral:rRNA from 1 species
AUUGAACGCUGGCGGCAUGCCUUACACAUGCAAGUCGAACGGUAACAGGUCUUCGGAUGCUGACGAGUGGCGAACGGGUGAGCAAUACAUCGGAACGUGCCCGAUCGUGGGGGAUAACGAAGCGAAAGCUUUGCUAAUACCGCAUAAGAUCUACGGAUGAAAGCAGGGGACCGCAAGGCCUUGUGCGAACGGAGCGGCCGAUGGCAGAUUAGGUAGUUGGUGGGAUAAAAGCUUACCAAGCCGACGAUCUGUAGCUGGUCUGAGAGGACGACCAGCCACACUGGGACUGAGACACGGCCCAGACUCCUACGGGAGGCAGCAGUGGGGAAUUUUGGACAAUGGGCGAAAGCCUGAUCCAGCCAUGCCGCGUGCAGGAUGAAGGCCUUCGGGUUGUAAACUGCUUUUGUACGGAACGAAAAGACUCUUUCUAAUAAAGAGGGUCCAUGACGGUACCGUAAGAAUAAGCACCGGCUAACUACGUGCCAGCCGCCGCCGUAA